rnacentral:rRNA from 1 species
GUGGGGAAUAUUGGACAAUGGGCGCAAGCCUGAUCCAGCCAUACCGCGUGAGUGAUGAAGGCCUUCGGGUUGUAAAGCUCUUUAGUCCACGAAUAUAAUGACUGUAGUGGAAGAAUAAGCCCCGGCCAACUUCGUGCCAGCAGCCGCGGUAAUACGAAGGGGGCGAGCGUUAUUCGGAAUCACUGGGCGUAAAGCGUGCGUAGGCUGUUUUGUAAGUCAGAAGUGAAAGCCCAGGGCUUAACCCUGGAAUUGCUUUUGAAACUACAAGACUCGAAUUCGGGAGAGGAUAGCGGAAUUGUCAGUGUAGCAGUGAAAUGCGUAGAUAUUGACAGGAACACCAGUGGCGCAAGCGGCUAUCUGGACCGAUAUUGACGCUGAGGCACGAAAGCGUGGGGAGCAAACAGGAUUAGAUACCCUAGUAGUCC